GGGGCUAUAGCUCAGUCGGUUAGAGCUGCGGACUCAUAAUCCGUCGGUCCCCGGUUCGAGCCCGGGUGGCCCCA
rnacentral:tRNA from 3 species